CCCUUCCCCAGCAACGUCAACCUAAAGAAGGAAAGGCAAGUUUCCAUUUUCUUCAAUUUCGAAGGUCACGGAGAUACCAUUACGUUAAACUUGUCAUGUGGAGUUAGAGGUUGGGUGAGAACGGGAAGUGUUGCACCAUUAUCAAGCAGGUACAAUAGCCGCAAGGCUUAAGAGGUUAGGGGUAGAAAAAAAAUCGUAUAAAAGGAGAGAGAAAAGGCGUUUGAAAUCAGUUGAGUGAGAAUCUCCGACCCGGCAACUGCUGUGUCCUAUUCGUCACUAAAUGCAUUUUUCAUUUUAAAAUCAUUACGCAAUAAGAAAAAAAAAAGGCCAAAGAAAUCAGUCGAGUGAUCAUCUCCGACACUGCAAUAGCAACUGCAGUGCACUAUUGAUCAUCAAUUGAUUCUUCACUGUGUAAUCAGUUCGUAAUCAUGGUUAAUUAUGGCGUUGUGCUGCUGUUGGGUCGACCACGAGUGUACCGAUGUCUCCUGGAUACGGUGGCCCCGAGUUACUUCACCAAAGCGCCUGAGUACUACACUGAGGCUCCCAAGUACUACACCAUCAAAGCCCCAGAGUAUUACACUGCAAUCUACGCUGCCCCAGCUUACACCACCAAGGGACCGGAGUACUGCACCACAACCUACGCUGCCCCAGUUCACUACGCCGCCCUGAGCUACACAACCACAUCUGAGGCAGCCGUCAUUACUGCACAGCGGCUGCUUCUUAGUAACAACCUACGUUACACCUAGAUGCUACACCGAAGCCCCCAAGUACUGCACCGGCAAGGCCGAAUAUUACAUAACCACGUUUGCUGCCCCAGCUACCCUGCUACACCGAGAAACCCAAGUAUUUCUCUGCUCCAAGCAACUAUCGAACAGAGGCUCCUGUUGACUACACCACCCAUGCCCCGGGGUUUACAGUACAACCUACGCUGCCCCAUCUACACCAUCAAGGCUCCAAAGUACUACGCAACCGAGGCACCCGAGCUACUACUUAGGCUGCUCCGACUUUCUGCACCGAAGCUGCGAAAUAUUCCACUGCCCCGAGUUACUACACCAUCAAGGCUGUUACAAUGUUACAUCACAACCUACGCUUCUCCAGUUUACUAUAUAAUGGUGAAGCCAGAAAUGGAAACAGUCUAGUGCUGUUGUUUGGUGUAUCGUUGACGGUCGAGUCGUCCACUGGUGUACCGGUGCUCCUGGGUGUGGCAGAUACCAAACCGCAAUGCUACCGUCUUACUACACAACAAACAUACGCAACCAGUUACUACACCUAAAAGGCCGUAUGUUACACAAGGACGUAUGCUACACCAGUUUACUACACCGAGGAAUUCAAGUAUUACUCUUCCCCGAACAAAUACCAAACAGAGGCUCCUGUUUACUACACUACCAUCGCCCUCGAGUGUUACACUAAAACCUACGUUGCCCCCAACUACUACACUGUGGCUCCGAAGUGCUACACAUCAAUGCACAACCAAUUCGCAAUUGUUUAUUUUUACGUCGUGCUGCUGUUGGUUGUUCUAUCGUUGCUAACGUGUUGACCACUGUACCGAACUCCACCGACUUUGGUUAUUAACGACAAGAGAUGUAUGUCAAUAGGUGCAAUAGCCGUAAAGUUUAAAAUGUGAAACAGGAAAAGAAAAAAUCGGAAAAGAAGAGAGAAAAGGCGAUUUAUCAAUUGAAUGAGCAUCUCCUACCCGGCAGCAAUUGCAUUCUUCCAAUACUCAAUCAAAGGAGUACUACACCACCAAGGCAGCGGAGUACUACACCACCAAGGCAGCGGAGUACUACACCACCAAGGCAGCGGAGUACUACACCACCAAGGCAGCGGAGUACUACACCACCAAGGCAGCGGAGUACUACACCACCAAGGCAGCGGAGUACUACACCACCAGAGCAGCGGAGUACUACACCACUAAGGCAGCGGAGUACCCAGGCUGCUGAAUUGUGAAUUGUUUGUUUUAUGUUUUAGAGGUGACUACUGCCUUAUUCAUACGGACAUGUUCUUGUGGUUCGACGAUGAUAUUUCAAGGAUUAGUUACGAAAGACACUUGUAACUGUAGAUUUUAUCAAAUCUUAUAAGUAAUGGGGAAGUGGGUGACCUUUGUAAAAAUGAAAGACUUUGAAGUUGA
rnacentral:lncRNA from 1 species